CAAUAGCGUAUAUUAAAGUUGUUGCAGUUAAAAAGCUCGUAGUUGGAUUUCUGGUGGGAGCGAUCGGUCUGGCGCUUAGCGCGAGUACUUGCAUCGUCUCCGGCCAUCCUUGGGGAGAGUCUGUCUGGCAUUAGGUUGUCGGGCAGAGGAUCCUCAGCGUUUACUGUGAAAAAAUUAGAGUGUUCAAAGCAGGCUUAUGCCGUUGAAUAUAUUAGCAUGGAAUAAUAAGAUAGGACUUUGGUACUAUUUUGUUGGUUUGCGCACCAAAGUAAUGAUUAAUAGGGACAGUUGGGGGUAUUCGUAUUCCGUUGUCAGAGGUGAAAUUCUUGGAUUUACGGAAGACGAACUACUGCGAAAGCAUUUACCAAGGAUGUUUUCAUUAA
rnacentral:rRNA from 1 species